UAAUGAAAAGAUAAUCAUCAAAUACAUCUAUUUAGCCAAAAACCCCAUCAUUUUUGGACAGUUUUAGCAAAAGCCGCUGUUCUAAAUAAUUACCGUCACAUAUUGGAAAUUGCUCCAAUGCGAAGUUUGGACGAAUUUAUGUUCGGUUCUGCUCGCUUUCAAAUAUCAAAUGUGAGAGAUGGGGACAAAUCGCGCAAUCGUGUUGUGAAAAAUUUACUUUAUUAUCAAACAAAUUAUUUUGUAAUGUGUCUGGGAAUUUAUGGUUUAUUGAUUAUAUUAAACCCGCAGAAAGUUUUUUGUGGAUUAAUCAUUCAGUCAAUAAUAAUUGCGGUAUUAUUGCGUUAUUUGGUAAAACGGCCACAUUCUAAAUUCAAACAUUCGGCCAGUUGGUCGAAUAUUUCACAAGGAAAUACUCAUCGAAAAUUGUAUUUUUUGCCAUGUGUUCUGAUAUGCGGGUAUCUGUUUUUGCAUUGGUCAAAUACAAUUUUUUUGACAAUAUUUACCGUGAUGUUACCAGUGUCACUUUAAGAUAUAUCAAAAACUAGAGGUUUGCGGUAGGCUUAGUCAUCUGUGUCUGAGAGAGAAUAGAGCCGCCUUUCACCUGCUAUAACUCAUUUUUCACCAACUGGACGUAGGAGUACAGGCUCGGAUUACAUGAGAAGGUCGAUUACGUAAAAAUUCCGACCAUAAAUAUACCAAAGAUGUUGGGAGUCUCAUUUGACAUCCUACAUCUUUGCGGUAUAUGCAAACGCCGCAAAACUCCAGAGCCUCAACAAAAAACAAAUACUCAAAGGGCUAGCCGGCAGCACCUGAGGUAAAGACAAUGAAACUUUGCUGGCAAUCUAUAAAGCAGUUGACAGGCCAGGCCGGUCGUAAACUAUGUUUCAUCGAACUGAGCACUGGGGACGAACGCGACGUAGAUGAAGCAGCUACAGGUUUCUCAGACCACUUCCCUCAGGGCGGCGACAGACAACCUCCUGAUGUCGACAUUCUUCACAAUUAACGAUAAUACCCCCACCAGAGUAAUGGGUUAUUGCCAAAGUUGGCCGGACAUAACAAUUGCGAGUGCUGGUCUGAUAAAGAGUACAAUCUGGCGACCUGUACUGACACUAGCAUCGGACCACUUGCCCAUACAAAUCUCGACUGACAGGCCUCCCGACUUUGUUUCCACGAAUCACCGGACAUUUGUUAACUUCAAAAAAGUUAACUGGCUCGUCUACACGGAAUUAACGGAGAACGUCUUUAGUGCUCUCCCCGCUCCACCAGACUGGUGAGCGUUCAUUCCGCAGGGUUGUCGUCAUGGGCUACAUGAUUACAAUUUUUAUAUAUCGAAUCUCGCCCCCUCCACCAGAAGAAUUUUCCCUAAGCUCGUAUGCCGUUGAUUGUGUGAUGAUGGCGUCUGGCCGGUAUACUGCUACCUUGCCGAUCUUUCUUACUUCUUCACUAUAUGGCAGUUAAAAAGUACAUACAUACAGUCGACGAAAUCCUCGGCUACCCUCUUCACCAACUGGACGAAGGAGUGCAGGCUUGAAUUAGAUGUGAAGCUCGAUGACGUAAAAAUUCCCAAAGAGUCGAGAGUCACAUUAGAUACAGGCACUCAUUCACUCUGCAUACGACCGCAAUUGCCGCAAAAUCAAGAGCCGCAAAAUCAAGAGCCGCAAAAAAAUAAUUAAAGCGCUAGCCGACAGCACCUGGGGUGAAGACAAAGAAACUUUGCUGCCAUCUUACAAAGCCAUUCGCCGGCCGGUCGAAAACUAUGCUGCAUCGAUCUGGGCGCCUAGGACGAACGAGACGCAGAUGAAGAAGCUACAAGCUUGCCAGAACACCGCCCUCAAGAGAGCGACAGGAAACCUCCUGAUGCCGCCGAAUGCAUCAGUGGAGCAUCUAUGCUAUGAGUUAAGGAGCAUAAUGCUUUGCUGUGCAAGUAAUUCUUAUUAGGUUUGUCACCGUAGGGAACACCACAAUAGGCAUCUUAUUGAAGCUGAACCACCACCUAGGCGCAUCAGAAAUAGAGUAAUUGACAUAAAAAACACCAUCCAGAAAUACGUGCAGCAACCGCUGAACAGGAAAAUAUGUAAGACGAAUUAAAUAGAUCGGCAUGUAUUUGGAGUGCGAAUUACGAUUGGGCAGACGUGGAAAUGCCGUAUAACGGCAUGGGCAAGCGGUGACAACUUUGUGUUUCCAUGGCGCUCUCAUUAGAUAUGUUGCUAUGAACGGAAGUUUAAGAUAUAUCAAAAACUAGAGGUUUGCGGUAGGCUUAGUCAUCUGUGUCUGAGAGAGAAUAGAGCCGCCUUUCACCUGCUAUAACUCAUUUUUCACCAACUGGACGUAGGAGUACAGGCUCGGAUUACAUGAGAAGGUCGAUUACGUAAAAAUUCCGACCAUAAAUAUACCAAAGAUGUUGGGAGUCUCAUUUGACAUCCUACAUCUUUGCGGUAUAUGCAAACGCCGCAAAACUCCAGAGCCUCAACAAAAAACAAAUACUCAAAGGGCUAGCCGGCAGCACCUGAGGUAAAGACAAUGAAACUUUGCUGGCAAUCUAUAAAGCAGUUGACAGGCCAGGCCGGUCGUAAACUAUGUUUCAUCGAACUGAGCACUGGGGACGAACGCGACGUAGAUGAAGCAGCUACAGGUUUCUCAGACCACUUCCCUCAGGGCGGCGACAGACAACCUCCUGAUGUCGACAUUCUUCACAAUUAACGAUAAUACCCCCACCAGAGUAAUGGGUUAUUGCCAAAGUUGGCCGGACAUAACAAUUGCGAGUGCUGGUCUGAUAAAGAGUACAAUCUGGCGACCUGUACUGACACUAGCAUCGGACCACUUGCCCAUACAAAUCUCGACUGACAGGCCUCCCGACUUUGUUUCCACGAAUCACCGGACAUUUGUUAACUUCAAAAAAGUUAACUGGCUCGUCUACACGGAAUUAACGGAGAACGUCUUUAGUGCUCUCCCCGCUCCACCAGACUGGUGAGCGUUCAUUCCGCAGGGUUGUCGUCAUGGGCUACAUGAUUACAAUUUUUAUAUAUCGAAUCUCGCCCCCUCCACCAGAAGAAUUUUCCCUAAGCUCGUAUGCCGUUGAUUGUGUGAUGAUGGCGUCUGGCCGGUAUACUGCUACCUUGCCGAUCUUUCUUACUUCUUCACUAUAUGGCAGUUAAAAAGUACAUACAUACAGUCGACGAAAUCCUCGGCUACCCUCUUCACCAACUGGACGAAGGAGUGCAGGCUUGAAUUAGAUGUGAAGCUCGAUGACGUAAAAAUUCCCAAAGAGUCGAGAGUCACAUUAGAUACAGGCACUCAUUCACUCUGCAUACGACCGCAAUUGCCGCAAAAUCAAGAGCCGCAAAAUCAAGAGCCGCAAAAAAAUAAUUAAAGCGCUAGCCGACAGCACCUGGGGUAACGACAAAGAAACUUUGCUGCCAUCUUACAAAGCCAUUCGACGGCCGGUCGAAAACUAUGCUGCAUCGAUCUGGGCGCCUAUGACGAACGAGACGCUGAUGAAGAAGCUACAAGCCUGCCAGAACACCGCCCUCAAGAGAGCGACAGGAAACCUCCUGAUGCCGCCGAAUGCAUCAGUGGAGCAUCUAUGCUAUGAGUUAAGGAGCAUAAUGCUUUGCUGUGCAAGUAAUUCCUAUUAAGUUUGUCACCGUAGGGAACACCACAAUAGGCAUCUUAUUGAAGCUGAACCACCACCUAGGCGCAUCAGAAAUAGAGUAAUUGACACAAAAAACACCAUCCAGAAAUACGUGCAGCAACCGCUGAACAGGAAAAUAUGUAAGGCGAAUUAAAUAGAUCGGCAUGUAUUUGGAGUGCGAAUUACGAUUGGGCAGACGUGGAAAUGCCGUAUAACGGCAUAGGCAAGCGGUGACAACUUUGUGUUUCCAUGGCGCUCUCAUUAGAUAUGUUGCUAUGAACGGAAGUAACUUUCAUACAUGCUUCUCUAAGGUUAAGGAAUAUUAAAAAUAAAAUGGUAAAUACGAUGGAGAGCUUCAAUCCUUCAACACCAAUGGGAGUAUUUUUAGACAUAUUGAACAUAUCAAUGGAUAGCUAAAUGAAUUCAGCAUCUGUUAAAAUAUUUUAAAACUUAUAUACAUAGUAUUUUCAUGCAAAUAUAAUUUAAGCCAAAAUUUAUAGCUAUGAAAUACAUUUAAAAAAUUCUUGUAUAGCAUAUAUAUGCAGCUCUGAAACUUUGAGCUUGAAUUAAUGUGUGUUUGUUGUAAAUAAAAGAAGCAUACAAAUUUAAGCUUUGCCUUUGUGCUGAUAAAAAUAUUGUAUUUUUAAAUUCAGUUUUAUGAACUACAGGUUCUUCUAAGUAAUGAUUUUAUACGUCUUCUUCUUAAUCUGCUAACCGAUAAAAACAAGUGAAGCUACGUUGUUCUCCACCUGAUCGGGUGAGUUCCAAAACGUCAGUUGCAAAGCAACCAUACAUUGUCACGCUUUCCUAAAUGCAGUAGAGCAAACCAUGAUAAUGUAUCAUGUUCCAAAAUGCGUCGGCAAUGUUAUUGAUGCGCAGACAAAAGUAAACUGCCCAUCGCUAAGGUUUGUGAUGCUUUGUUUUAUGAUAAAUUCUUAACGGUCGACGGCGGAGAGCAAGUUAUUUGCGCUAAUUAUUUUUUUUAACUUCAUAUUACUUGUCUUUUUUAUCUGUUUCGUAUUUUAGCCAUUUCACCGAAAAGCAACUUAUUUGCACGAAAAGCGUUCCAAAAUGUCAGAGUUUGCGAAGUAUUGUUGGAAAGCAAAUCUAUAGAAUACAGGGUUGCAUUGUUUCACAACCGCAUCAAUAUAAGGUAGUUGGAUGUUUCAGAACUCGCCCAUCCUUAUACAGUCAAAGAUAAAAGUUUAAAUACAUCUAUAAGAUUCAACUUUUUAUUAAUUUUAAGCAUUUUAGAGUAAGUGUACGAAUGCUGUUUAAUUGAAGUGUAUAACUAAUCAAUAAUGCAAUCCAAAAAAAUAUUCCACGUCGCUUAAAUCACUUAAAACCAUGCGGGACAAAAGUUUAAAUACAACACAUAUUAUUUCUUGUUUCGACCAAAUUAAACUCAAAAUAAAGGUGUUUAAAACAAUUAUAAUAUUUUGUUGGCCCACCUCAUGGUUCUAUAACUACCUUUAGAUGACGUGGGGGUAAAUGUAACCAAAUUUUCUAUUUCCGAUGACGCAAUCUAAGACUAUGCCUUUUUCAGAUAUUCUUCCAAGACUUAUUUGCUGGUUGAAGCCGCCAUAGCAAUUUUUCGUGCCAAUAACUCCCAAAUCUGCUCAUUGGGGUUCAAGUCUGAUGAUUUCGGCGGACUAUAAAGCUGACGAGGAGCAUAAUGCAAUAGUCAUUCCUUCCCCAAGCCCGCUGUUUGGUAAGGUCCGUUAUCUUGUUGAAUUAUCUACGAACUUCCGAGACCCAAUGAAUCCAUGCAACAAGGGUCUUUCUCCAGUGGAAAAUUUAUUACUUGUUCUGAUGGAAACUGAAGGGAAGCCAAAAAAGUAGUACAAAAUUGUUCAAAAACAAAUGAAGGCUUCGAGGCCGAAUUCAAAUACCUCUGCCAUAGAUACGAAAGUAAGUUUCAGUUAGUUAAGGCACAAUUUAAAAUUUUAUUUAGUCUGUCGCCCAUUUAGGAAAAUGAUUGCAAUUCUCUGAAGCAAUUACAGUGAAAAAUAAAUAAUUGCGUGUCAUUUUUAAAGAACCAUAAAAUUGGUUGUUUCAAUAGUGACAUACUUUUGCACAUUUAAAAUACCAGAUGACAAUAAAGCCCUAUGGGACUGUACUGAGAUUCCAACCUAGGAGGAGCUUGAUGGCUUCCUGACAAGCCGGUUCAGGCCAUCGAAGCAGUGGCACAAAAAACGAUUCAAAGAACGCAUAGCCGCUUAAGCCGCAUGCCAAUAAAUAUUGUCAUAAUCAAGAGACCCGCCGUAAAAGGCUUGCCUCAUAUCAAGUGAGUGUCCUCAAACCAAACUAUCCUAUGUGUGACACCAGCAUAAAUUUUGCUAUUGCUCAGACUUUGGAAAAUUACUUCAAAAGAACGAUUGAAGAUAGUUAAACGUCAUCAAGUAUGUAUAAACUGCGCUUAUUGCCAUUUACGCAUCACACUCUUCUACAUAUAUAACCUAUGAUUUAGAAGACAAUUGAUAAAAAAACUACAAACCACCAGAGACGACAUGCCAUGCACAUCCGCAUAAGCACGUGAGAACCUAAACCCGCGGAAAUCAAAUAAUGUGCAAUCCUGCAAUCCAUGCUUGGGCAAACUCAGGAACUUUGUUGGGUUUUCGAGUUCUCUUAAAUGCAGGAGGUACCAACUAUUCAGAAUACUAAUUUAUCACCGAAUCACAUAAACGGUACAAGCAUGUUUUGUUCAACUUUGCUCACCAAUCAAUCAUCUGCUUAAUAUGAACGCCUAUCUUUUAAUUUGACCGCGACUAACUGAAGAUCUCCCUUUUCCUCAAAUCAGCGCAAAGACAGUUCAAGUAUUUCUAGACUUAGCUCUGGCGGUUUAACGGUAUCUACAUGAGUACAGAGGAAAGACGCUGUCAGUAUACCUCUCGCAAAAACCCGAGUAGCCCCAGUCAAGACAAUAUCUGUACUAAGUCUUGAACUUCGCCGGGCAGUAUUGCUAGCUGAAUUUAUAGAAUUAUUAAUAAUCAACCGUAGCUUAGCUGAUACAAAAAUUCGUUUAUGGACGGAUUCAACCACUUUGCUGGCAUAGACACUCAAGCCUACGUGUUCAUCGUCAACUUUCGUCGCACAUAGAAUCACAAAGAUUGUUAAAAAGGUUGGAAAUAAGACCUGGUAAUAUGUCGACUCAGCAACUUAUCCAGCGGAUCUAGCUAUCAGACGACUUUCAGCAUCCGAUUUAAUAAAGACUAGCCUGUGGUGAAAAGGAUCUACAUGGCUUGAAAGGGAUCCGUCGAAAUAGCAUAAGCAGAAAAUAAUAAUAACGGUGUUAUGAGGACGCAUCACGUGAUCUCGCGUAUAGCGACCGUCAUCCAAUAAUACUAUCCAACAAUUGCAGAUUGUCACGUCUGAUUGUCCAUUUCAUCCAUGAAAUCUCCUUACAUGCAGAUGAUGUUACACCUCAUUCGAACGCCCUUUUGGAUUGCACAGAUAUAGAGCAUGGAUCGGAUCCAUUAUAUAUAAUUGUAGAGCCUUUACCAAUAUUGGUGUCGGUGUUGCAGGUCCGUUUGAAAUUAAAAGCUACAGCGACAGAGGUUGUCGAAUCUCCUAGUCUGCCUAUUUGUUUGCUUUUCAACAACGCCACCCGUUUGGAAGCAAUUAGUGAAUUGAGCACUCAAUAAUUUCUGUCAGCAUUUUCCAUGUUUGUCUGUGGGCGACGGUGUCCAUUUCGAUAACGGCACCAACUUUGUAGAAGUCUCACUAUCACUAAGACUCAGCCUUUAUUGCAGAUGCUCGUGAUAGCAUCGUUUCCAAAUAUGCGUUUCAAGAAUUAAAUUGGCGUUUUAUUCCAGCUUCAGCUUCUGAUAUGGAAGGACUGCGGGCAGCUUGAGUAAAAAGUUUUAAAAAUCAUUUUAAGAAAAUCACAUCGAGUUUUAAGUUUACGUUUGAGAAGCUAAGUACGUUGUUGUGCUGAGCUGAGAUAUGUCUCAACUCGCGACCACACUAUCCUUCCUCAAAUAACGCAACUGACUUUGAACUAUUGCCUGGAGUCAGCCAGUUUCUGGUUGGUGGACAUUUGUUAGUACCACCGGAUCCUAGUGUCAACGAAAAAUCAGUUGUUAAUAGGUAGCAGAUGCUAAAGGCUUUACACCACUCGUUUUGCAGAUGAUGGAAAAAUAAAUAUUCAAUGGAGAUGCAAAACCGCAUCAAAUGGAUACACCCACAACAUUUAAUUACAGGAGACUUAUUGUUUAUCAAGGAAGCUAACCUGCCACCUAACGAAUGGCGACUGGGAAGAAUCCUCCAAUUCCAGCCAGUGGAUCUUUGGACUGAAAGAGGACAAAUAACAAGAUCCCUUGUCAAAUAUCACACCUAAACCAAUACAAAAGCUUAACUAAAAUCACCUAAAACAAAUCUAUAAAUGAAAAAUCAAUAAAAUAAACAGAAAAAGAACACCACGAUUAUAUACAUAUACAAAUGUAAAUAUAAAGAUAACAGAAGCCAAGAAAUUUGACUCACCAUUGUCGUACGACUGUUCUGAGGAUCCACUUCAUUAUUAUGUGUUCUACUGUUUGAAUAUUUUUACAGAGCAGUACCCAAAUUAAAGUUAAAUGACGCAUUAUGGAAAAAUCAGCUUUUUGUCAAUUAUAAAUCAAAAUAUACACACUCACACCACCAUGACCACAAAUGGCGCAUUUUCAACAGUACGAAGCACAUUUUAAACCUUAUUAAAAUCAACAUUCCUUAUUACUACAUAUGUGUUACGUAUAUUAAUUUGGAUUUUCGCUUAUAACUAUACAUGUUUAUGAUUGUACAUUUAUACUUUAAAUCAAAUUCGCCACUAUUAAAAUGCACUUUUCAGCAGAUUUUAUUGAUGUCAGUUUCUGCUGAGUUGGUGCCUGGCUAGCGAGAUGUCUGCAAGCAUUUCACCCAGGUCCAAAUAACAACGCUCUACGUCAGAUUUCAAAUCGCUUGAAUACUUGUAUAAGAAUAAUUUAAUUUCCAGGUUUAGGUCAUAGACAGAACAGUGAACUUCUUUUCCGGGGUAGUGUAAAACGUCGAUUUGUCGAAGGCCAGCAUUUUUACUAGGAAAGCCGCUGUCUAUAAAUAUGAAUGUGUCAUUAGUUCUGGGCGAGUGGUGUUUGUAUCGUAGUAGUAAUAUAUAUACAAUACUUGUUUGGAAUGACGAAUGUUCACUUAUGUUUAAUUCUUCAGCAUUAAAUUAAAGU